UACGUAGGGGGCAAGCGUUGUCCGGAUUUAUUGGGCGUAAAGAGCGUGUAGGCGGCUUGGCAAGUCCGCUGUGAAAACUCGAGGCUCAACCUCGAGACGUCGGUGGAAACUGCCUCGCUAGAGUCCGGAAGAGGAGAGUGGAAUUCCUGGUGUAGCGGUGAAAUGCGCAGAUAUCAGGAAGAACACCCGUGGCUAAGGCGGCUCUCUAGUACGGUACUGACGCCGAGACGCGAAAGCGUGGGGAGCGAACAGG
rnacentral:rRNA from 1 species